AGCUUCCUCUGAGACCCUGAGAUCCUAGUGUGACCAAGCUCCUGUUAUCCGAGGAUCCUUAAGUCCUAGGAUCUUGGCCAUGUUACAGCACCUGGAAAGUGGUGUCUCCUCUGGGGACCAUGGGGCUCUCUGAUGUGUUUGAAACCAAGUCCACACCUAUAUGCCCAAUCCUGAAUCUGUUCUUUACUUCCUGGUCACUGCUCUAUCUGCCUCACUGGAGGUCUGCUGCCACCCAGGACUACCAGACUUGAACUGAAACGUCAGGCAGACAUGGGCACAACACAGCUAUUGGUGGCAUGUAAGAAGAAAGAAGGAGUCAUUGGAACCAGAUUCACUCAGUUCUAAGAUCUCAAGAAAUAUACUGAACCUACUGGUACUCAGAGAAAUCCUAAUUCAUAGACUGCCUUCUCAGGAGGACCCCCCCCAUACCAAAGGCAUUGUGUAUGGAGCCUUCCCAGAAAGAGCCCUAAGAUAUAAAAUCUCUGAAAAAAAAAUCCCAGAUCAAAUUGUAACAGGUCAUUUCUACCUGGCCAUGCUUUAGUAAGCAAAUGAUUACAUGGCUCUGGAGAAAGGUGCUACAGAAGGUCGACCUUUCUAGAACAGCCUACACUGGUACAGGUAAAAAAAUGAUACUCAGGAAGUGGGAUGGACAUAUCUACUUGGUAUCUUACAGAACAAAAUACAGAAUUCAUCGUAAAGCCUUGAGAUUGAAGAAUAAAAUAUCAAUUUAUGUUAAUUGC